CCUACGGGAGGCAGCAGUGAGGAAUAUUGGUCAAUGGACGAGAGUCUGAACCAGCCAAGCCGCGUGAAGGACGAAUGCCCUAUGGGUUGUAAACUUCUUUUAUCUGGGAACAAAAUGAUACACGAGUGCCAUAUUGAGUGUACCAGAAGAAUAAGGAUCGGCUAACUCCGUGCCAGCAGCCGCGGUAAUACGGAGGAUGCGAGCGUUAUCCGGAUUUAUUGGGUUUAAAGGGUGCGGAGGCGGAUGGGUAAGUCAGUGGUGAAAGCUCGGGGCUCAACCCUAGGAGUGCAGUUGAAACUGGGAGUCUUGAGUAGAGGAGAGGUAUGCGGAAUUCGUGGUGUAGCGGUGAAAUGCUUAGAUAUCGCGAAGAACUCAGAUUGCGAAGGCAGGUUACUGGA
rnacentral:rRNA from 1 species